UCUGUGAGGAGAGGCAAUGACCCCUUGAGGGGGCUCUGCUUCUCGGCCAAUGUACUCGGCUUGACAGAAUACCCCCUGCUUUUCAGAACCUGCUCAGGCAGUCCAUAAAAGCUGGAUGCCAUAUUGCAGAAGGUUCCUCUGGCUCUUAGAGACCUGUCUCUCCUCACCAGUGGUGCAGAAGUCAGAAGUGUCCUCUCUAGGGUCAUAGGCCCCUGUGGACUUAAGCCUCUAGCUCCAGAGGUCAUUUCUGAGCUGGGCCUUAGGAACCAGCAGAUGCUGAGAUUCAUGAUUCUGGGAGAGACUGUAGUGGGGGGGUGGUGGGAGAGGAACCAGUGUAAGCCUUGCCUAACUGCCAACUUCCCUGUCUGUCUUCCACCCCAAUGCUCUCAGUCCCAAGCAGCCCUCCUCCUCCUGCUCUCCAGCAAACCCGCCCGGCUGCAAACCAGCACCCCAGAUGGAUACUUUUCGUUCGGAUUUUCCCAGCUCCACCCAUGCUGAAGGGACUCCCAUCUUUGCCUGGGUCCUGUACCUCUUCUGCAGUCAGCAAACCUCUCUGCUCACGGAGGGGACUUUCUAGGGGACCCUUAGGACCCCAGGGCCCCAUACAGUCCCUGUGAAACAUUCCAUUACCCUUUGAGCUGCCGCUCUCUGCCCAUACACGGUGAAGCCACGUGAGAGGUUCAUAAAUAAAUGAUGCUAAAAGUA